rnacentral:rRNA from 1 species
ACAGGUGGUGCAUGGUUGUCGUCAGCUCGUGUCGUGAGAUGUUGGGUUAAGUCCCGCAACGAGCGCAACCCUAUCUUUAGUAGCCAGCGGUUGGCUGGGCACUCUAGAGAGACUGCCAGGGAUAACCUGGAGGAAGGCGGGGAUGACGUCAAAUCAUCAUGCCCUUAUGAUCUGGGCUACACACGUGCUACAAUGGUGACUACAAAGGGAAGCGAAGCAGUGAUGUGGAGCAAAUCCCAAAAAGGUCAUCUCAGUUCGGAUUGUAGUCUGCAACUCGACUACAUGAAGCUGGAAUCGCUAGUAAUCGCGAAUCAGAAUGUCGUGGUGAAUACGUUCCCGGGUCUUGUACACACCGCCCGUCACACCAUGGGAGUUGGAUAUGCCCGAAGUCAGUGACCCAACCGUAAGGAGGGAGCUGCCGAAGGUGGAGCCGAUGACUGGGGUGAAGUCGUAACAAGGUAGCCGUAUCGGAAGGUGCGGCUGGAUCACCUCCUUU